GACGAACGCUGGCGGCGUGCUUAACACAUGCAAGUCGAACGGAAAGGCCUCUUUCGGGGGGUACUCGAGUGGCGAACGGGUGAGUAACACGUGAGUAACCUGCCCUUGACUUUGGGAUAACUUCAGGAAACUGGGGCUAAUACCGGAUAGGAGCUCCUGCUGCAUGGUGGGGGUUGGAAAGUUUCGGCGGUUGGGGAUGGACUCGCGGCUUAUCAGCUUGUUGGUGGGGUAGUGGCUUACCAAGGCUUUGACGGGUAGCCGGCCUGAGAGGGUGACCGGCAACAUUGGGACUGAGAUACGGCCCAGACUCCUACGGGAGGCAGCGGUGGGGAAUAUUGCACAAUGGGUGGAAGCCUGAUGCAGCAACGCCGUGUGCGGGAUGACGGCCUUCGGGUUGUAAACCGCUUUCGCUCAUGACGAAGCUUUGUGUGACGGUAGUGGGUAAAGAAGCACCGGCUAACUACGUG
rnacentral:rRNA from 1 species